GACGAACGCUGGCGGCGUGCUUAACACAUGCAAGUCGAACGAAGUGGCGAACGGGUGAGUAACGCGUAAUCAACCUGCCCUUCAGGGGGGGACAACAGUUGGAAACGACUGCUAAUCCCGAAUACUGAAGGAGGGGAUUGCGUCUGAUUAGCUCGUUGGAGGGGUAACGGCCCACCAAGGCGAUGAUCAGUAGCCGGUUUGAGAGGAUGAACGGCCACAUUGGGACUGAGACAAGGCCCAGACUCCUACGGGAGGCAGCAGUGGGGAAUCUUCCGCAAUGGACGAAAGGCUGACGGAGCAACGCCGCGUGAGUGAUGACGGCCUUCGGGUUGUAAAGCUCUGUUAAUCGGGACGUGGUACCGGAAUAGAAAGCCACGGCUAACUACGUGCCAGCAGCCGCGGUAAUUC
rnacentral:rRNA from 1 species